AAGUUAUUGAACUUGUUUUUCAAUGACGAUAAUCUGCUCUACAAACUGAUUGUUUCAGAUGAGUGAACAUUCUACAUCAACCACGCUCCAAAUCGCCAAAAUGUUCGGUAUUGGAAGAGCAAAAGUAUAUAGAGUAGUUGCACUCUGUUUCGGUGCCUUUGAUGUUCAGUGUCUCUCGAGUGGGCGGAGUUUAGCCCAACCGCCAUGUUGUUAUCUAACUGCGGUAGUAUUUGUUUUGAAUGACUGCUUCAUCGCGAUUAGUUUAUGGAUAAUCAGAUGAAUUAUAAUGAAAAAUUCCGGCACGAUAUUUUGAAGUAAAGUCUAUAUAGAAGUCUUAAAUAUAAAACUUUCGUAUAUUUAAUCUGUUGUUUUACUUUUCUCGUUUAAAUAAACCAUGUCAACAUUUAUAAUUUUAAAAUUUUAAUUUUUAGGCAAUACAUAAAACUAAUGCAAAAUAAAACGAC
rnacentral:lncRNA from 1 species